rnacentral:rRNA from 1 species
UGGGUAACCUGCCCAAGAGAUCGGGAUAACACCUGGAAACAGAUGCUAAUACCGGAUAAUAACAGAUGAUGCCUAUCAACUGUUUAAAAGAUGGUUCUGCUAUCACUCUUGGAUGGACCUGCGGUGCAUUAGCUAGUUGGUAGGGUAACGGCCUACCAAGGCGAUGAUGCAUAGCCGAGUUGAGAGACUGAUCGGCCACAUUGGGACUGAGACACGGCCCAAACUCCGUACGGGAGGCAGCAGGU